UACAGAGGGUGCAAGCGUUAAUCGGAAUUACUGGGCGUAAAGAGCACGUAGGUGGUUGUUCAAGUUGGAUGUGAAAGCCCCGGGCUUAACCUGGGAAGGUCAUCCAAAACUGUGCGACUAGAGUACGGUAGAGGGAAGUGGAAUUUCCGGUGUAGCGGUGAAAUGCGUAGAUAUCGGAAGGAACACCAGUGGCGAAGGCGACUUCCUGGACUGAUACUGACACUGAGGUGCGAAAGCGUGGGGAGCAAACAGG
rnacentral:rRNA from 1 species